rnacentral:rRNA from 1 species
CCUACGGGAGGCAGCAGUGAGGAAUAUUGGUCAAUGGACGAGAGUCUGAACCAGCCAAGUAGCGUGAAGGAUGACUGCCCUAUGGGUUGUAAACUUCUUUUAUAUGGGAAUAAAACGUUCCACGUGUGGGAUUUUGUAUGUACCAUAUGAAUAAGGAUCGGCUAACUCCGUGCCAGCAGCCGCGGUAAUACGGAGGAUCCGAGCGUUAUCCGGAUUUAUUGGGUUUACAGGGAGCGUAGGUGGAUUGUUAAGUCAGUUGUGAAAGUUUGCGGCUCAACCGUAAAAUUGCAGUUGAAACUGGCAGUCUUGAGUACAGUAGAGGUGGGCGGAAGUCGUGGUGUAGCGGUGAAAUGCUUAGAUAUCACGAAGAACUCCGAUUGCGAAGGCAGUUCACUGGACUGCAACUGACACUGAGGCUCGAAAGUGUGGGUAUCAAACAGGAUUAGAUACCCCAGUAGUC